GGUCUUAUGGUGUAAGUCUAUGAUUGGCAACGUGGUCAAGAUACUUUACUAAUUCUUCUUCAGCUAGUGGUAUGAUUCUCGCUUAGGGAGCAAUCCUGAGCAUAUUUGCGAGAGGCCCCGCGUUCGAAUCGCGGUAAGACCC